rnacentral:rRNA from 1 species
UACGAAGGGGGCUAGCGUUGUUCGGAAUUACUGGGCGUAAAGCGUGCGCAGGCGGCUUCUCAAGUCAGGGGUGAAAGCCCAGAGCUCAACUCUGGAACUGCCUUUGAGACUGAGAGGCUUGAGUACGGGAGAGGUGAGUGGAACUGCGAGUGUAGAGGUGAAAUUCGUAGAUAUUCGGAAGAACACCGGUGGCGAAGGCGGCGACCUGGUCCGAUACUGACGCUGAGGCGCGAAAGCGUGGGGAUCAAACAGG